GGACGAAGUAAGCGGGCACGUGCUGUCAAGUAAGGGGCGUAAGUGACGUGCACAAGGUUAAAGUACGCGGGCAUGAGUUGUCCAUGAGCUGAAGAUCGAGUGGGGCACACAAGUGAUGCCCAUGAGGUGAAACAUGCAAGACAUGUGUUGAAGGUGUGCAAGCUACUAACGAAGGACUAAUGGAAGAAAUGUGAAUGCCAACUUAGUCUCGGUACACGGUCAUGCUACUUGCUAUCGACGUGCGGGAUGCACGUGGGUCAGUAAUGGGCUGACGUAAGCUGAGAUGACAUGAAAGCCUAUCGGUUGGCCGAGUGUCUUGGAAGACAACCAUGACACAAGGAAGCGAUCGAUUAGUCACAAGAUGUGAGACUCGUGUGGGAGUAGCUUUCGUUGGUAAACCUCAACAAGUAAGAGGACGAUGUCAAAAGGGUCAAGUUGAAAAGAGAAGCACACAGAAAGAAAAAGAAAAAUGGAGUAUCAAGGAAGUAAGGAAAUAGGCUGGCCUCGGUUCAAGAAGAACCUUGGCGCCUCACGGGCUAAUUCCGCUGCGUCUAAAGUCGGCCCGUGACACUAAGCAAAACUGCAAAACUAUCUCGUGCGUGCCUGAAGAGAAAAAACAAAUCGGAGAAGCUAGAGCUAAUAAUGUUGAUGGACCAGUUGUUGUGAAAUCUAGAAAUGUAAUCAGGGGACAAAAUAUUGUUGUCACG
rnacentral:lncRNA from 1 species